rnacentral:rRNA from 1 species
AUUCGCCCUUGUGCCAGCCGCCGCGGUAAGACGGAGGGGGCAAGCGUUGUCCGGACUCACUGGGCGUAAAGGGUGCGUAGGCGGUACGGAGCGUCGCCACUGAAACCUCCCGGCUUAACCGGGAGAGGUGUGGCGAUACGUCCGAACUCGAGGCAGAGAGAGGUGCGCGGAAUUCCGGGUGUAGUGGUGAAAUGCGUAGAUAUCCGGAGGAACGUCGGUGGCGAAGGCGGCGCACUGGCUCUGACCUGACGCUGAGGCACGAAGGCGUGGGGAGCGAACCGGAUUAGAUACCCGGGUAGUCCACGCAGUAAACGAUGUUGGCUCGGUGUGCGGUGAUGGUAAGACAUUGCUGCGUGCCCAAGUACACACGGUAAGCCAACCGCCUGGGGGACUACGAGCGCAAGCUUAAAAACUCAAAGGAAUUGACGGGGGGCCCGCACAAGCAGCGGAGCGUGUGGUUUAAUUCGACGCAACGCGAAGGAACCUUACCCAGGUUUGACAUGGCACUGCAAGCGCACGGAAACGUGUGACCUUCGAGGGUGUGCCACAGGUGCUGCAUGGCUGUCGUCAGCUCGUGUCGUGAGAUGUUGGGUUAAGUCCCGCAACGAGCGCAACCCUCGCCGUCAGUUACUCGUGUCUGGCGGGACAGCCCUCUUUGGGAGGAAGGUGGGGAUGACGUCAAGUCAGCAUGGCCCUUACGCCUGGGGCGACACACACGCUACAAUGCGCAGCACAAUGCGUCGCAAACCCGCAAGGGGGAGCUAAUCGGUAAAUGCGCUCAGUGCAGAUCGGGGGCUGCAACUCGCCCCCGUGAAGGCGGAGUUGCUAGUAACCGCGUAUCAGCCAUGGCGCGGUGAAUACGUACCCGGGCCUUGUACACACCGCCCGUCAAGGGCGAAUU